ensembl:lncRNA
GUUAUCACCAUGGAGACAGCAGAGAAAGGACACAUAUCACUAUCCUUGAGGACUUCAGCUACCAUGCAAAUGGGGCUUCAGCAGGGUAAAUGAGCAGAAAGCUCCAUCAGUAACUCCUCACUCGGAAGCCACUAUGCAAUGCUGUUAAUAGCCUGAUUUUCACUGACUUGAAUCUUCAUUGCACAGUUGAAUAGAAAUGGUUCUACUCAGGUAUGACAUGACCCUGUAGAGAUUGCUUCUUGCUAAACUCAGCUGCAACAGUCUACAAUUUCUAGUACCAUGAACUUCAGAUGUAUAUGCUGAACAGAUUGUUUACUCAUUCCUGGGAGCUGUGUUCACAAUGAGUGGAAUCACUUCGACGUCUCCUGUUUGUUUGGUUUGGUGUUUGCUGUGGUCAGGAAGUACCUGCCCUCCCAGAGACUGCCCCAGGUUGGAUUUUUUAAAGUUGGCUUUGCAGAUCUUAGGUGGGAUCAUGAGUGGGGCUCUUCCUUGUAUAUUUAUAUCUAAAUGUUGAACACAUGAUAACUCUUAGCAGCCCAGAAAAUUGCCUGAGCUCUCAGUGUCAUAUGCAUAAGCCUCACAUGUAUUGGAGAAGCCUGAACCUUCUUACUGGUCAGACUAGGGACAUGGAGUCAAACCACAUGGUGGCUGAGUGUGGAAUGGGGGUUAAUAAGCAUUCAUUCUGGUCUGACCUUUUGGGAGUUUCUUUUUCCCAUCUGCAGAAGAAGAGGUUGCAUUAGAUGAAAUGAAAACUCAUGCCAACUCAAGUGCUAUAAUUUCACUUGGAUCUCUGGAUCUAGACAUGGGUAAGAUGAGUACAUUUUGUUUGUAUCUUACUGUUACAUCUAAAACUACUUUUAUUCUGCUGAAUUAAAAUCAAAUGACCAUGGAGAAAUUGGGAGUUGGCUGUCAAUAUGAUACUGACUUGGGUUCUUGGACUCUUCAAUCAACAGAAAUUGAUAAGAGGCCAGACAAGAAAUUCAGGCAAGGCUUUAUUGGGAUUCAUGCUGCAGCACUAGGAAGUUCAAACAAGUAAUAAAUGACCUUGCUUGCUCCCAAAGGCGGGGGUGGUGGGCUGGUCACUUAAAGGGUAUAAGGGUGAGGAAGGAUCCAUGGGUUAGGCUGAGAGAUGGCUUAAGCGCUCUGCCCUCCCCCUUGGUUAUUCUAUGUUCAAGGAUGGUGCUCAGUACCCUGCUUUUGCUCUCAGCAUCUCAGAAGUGGCAGUUGCUUUGUGCCCUUUUGGUAUCUUAUUAUUUAUAAUUUGCCCCAACUGGAUAUGCAUACAGUGGUUUUUAGUUAUAGUUUCUUUGUAUUCUGUUGCUCAAGGAGAUGUUUGUCCAGCUGCAAAUAUUGCAGUAAAGUGUACCAGGUCCCAGGUUCCAGGUUCCAGCCUGUCUCAAAUCUGUACUGACUCCAGGAAAACAAUUUCAAUAAAAAUAUAAUAGAAUGCCAA